rnacentral:rRNA from 1 species
GGACGAACGCUGGCGGCGUGCUUAACACAUGCAAGUCGAACGGGAGUAUCAAAGAAGCUUGCUUUUAAGAUACUUUAGUGGCGGACGGGUGAGUAACGCGUGAGGAGCUGUCCUAUGCAGGGGGACAACAGUUGGAAACGGCUGCUAAUACCCCAUAAGCCGAGAGGUAAAAGGAUUUAUCCGGCAAAGGAGGCACUCGCGUCCUAUCAGCUAGUAGGUUGGGUAACGGCCGACCUAGGCGAAGACGGGUAGCCGGCCUGAGAGGGCGAACGGCCACACUGGAACUGAGAUACGGUCCAGACUCCUACGGGAGGCAGCAGUGGGGAAUAUUGGGCAAUGGGGGAAACCCUGACCCAGCGACGCCGCGUGGGUGAAGAAAUCCUUCGGGAUGUAAAGCCCUGUUGUAUGGGAAGAGCGGAAGACGGUACCAUACGAGGAAGCCCCGGCAAACUACGUGCCAGCAGCCGCGGUAAUACGUAGGGGGCAAGCGUUGUCCGGAAUUACUGGGCGUAAAGCGCACGCAGGCUGAAUUAUAAGUCGGUAGUCAAAGGCGGAGGCUCAACCUCUGUAUAUCUAUCGAUACUGUAAAUCUGGAGUAUGUGAGAGGGAAGCGGAAUUCCCGGUGUAGCGGUGAAAUGCGUAGAUAUCGGGAGGAACACCAGUGGCGAAGGCGGCUUCCUGGCACAAUACUGACGCUCAUGUGCGAAAGCUAGGGCAGCGAACGGGAUUAGAUACCCCGGUAGUCCUAGCCGUAAACGAUGGAUACUAGGUGUGGGUGUCGCAGGGCAUCCGUGCCGCAGCUAACGCGUUAAGUAUCCCGCCUGGGGACUACGGUCGCAAGACUGAAACUCAAAGGAAUUGACGGGGGCCCGCACAAGCGGUGGAGCACGUGGUUUAAUUCGAUGCAAA